rnacentral:tRNA from 1 species
GAGGGUGUAACUCAGUGGUAGAGCACGUGCUUAGUGUGAAUGAGGUCCUGGGUUCAAUCCCCAGUACCUCCA